rnacentral:rRNA from 1 species
AGGACGAACGCUGGCGGCGUGCUUAACACAUGCAAGUGGAGCGACGAACCAGGCUUCGGCCUGGGGCAGAGCCGCGAACGGGUGAGUAACACGUGGGUAACCCACCCCGAUGACCGGGACAACCCGAGGAAACUCGAGCUAAUGCCGGAUGAGCUCCUCUCUCAUGAGGGAGAGGAGGAAAGAUAGCUUCGGCCUUCGCAUCGGGACGGGCCCGCGGCGCAUUAGCUUGUUGGUGGGUAAAGGCCUACCAAGGCUACGAUGCGUAGCUGGUCUGAGAGGACGAUCAGCCACACUGGGACUGAGACACGGCCCAGACUCCUACGGGAGGCAGCAGUGGGGAAUCUUGCGCAAUGCGCGAAAGCGUGACGCAGCAACGCCGCGUGGGGGAAGAAGGCCUUCGGGUUGUAAACCCUUUCAGCAGGGACGAUUAUGACGGUACCUGCAGAAGAAGGACCGGCCAACUACGUGCCAGCAGCCGC